rnacentral:lncRNA from 1 species
UUAAAAACAGAGUUGCGGAAAACGUACCAUUUUUUUUUUUUCAACCUGGCCCACGUGACGUACAGACCCGCCACAAAUACAAAGUUCCUCUGUCCACUCGGGCAGAGUCUCCUUUGUAUUUGCACGGCGUACCAACGGAUACAACAGGAUCACAACCACAACCUACAUUUACCAAUCAACAACCAAUUCAUGAUAUACAUUUUCAUACAGCUAACAAUCCUUAGAGAUGAUGCAUGCCUCUAAACACUCCUUAGACGCUGGAUGAUGCAAUGCACAGUACAACAAUCAUCCUAUUUAAAAGUGCUCCCCACACGGCAGCUUUUGUUUUUAAAAUCUAAUUCAUUCAUACAUGAAAAUCAUUCAAAAAUCUUUUGAAAACUGUUUCCCACACGGAAACUCUAUUUUGAAAACUGACUACCUCGAGGGGUAGAAAACCACGAUGCGUAAGUCCAUAAAUACAAAUCCGAGAACCACAAAGUAUACAAACAUUCCAAAACUGAAGAUCCAUAAACCAAAUCUACAAUUCCACAAAUCCACAAAUUCAACCAGCUCACAACAUUCAAACAUCAAGUAUGAUCAUCUAACUGAACCAUAUAAACUAACUAAGCUAUAACAACAGAAUAGUAAGGAUAAAAACUAAAUCGAUAACCUGGGUCGGAAGCUCUAUCGACCGCUACGAACGUACCUCACGUCUCGUCCCAAAACUCAUCGCCUGCAAU